rnacentral:rRNA from 1 species
UACGGAGGGUGCGAGCGUUGUCCGGAAUCAUUGGGCGUAAAGGGCGCGUAGGUGGCCCGGUCAGUUCGUGGUGAAAGCGCGGGGCUCAACCCUGCGUCGGCCAUGAAUACUGCCGCGGCUGGAGCACUGUAGAGGCAGGCGGAAUUCCGGGUGUAGCGGUGGAAUGCGUAGAGAUCCGGAAGAACACCGGUGGCGAAGGCGGCCUGCUGGGCAGUUGCUGGACACUGAGGCGCGAC